ensembl:snoRNA
AAAGCAGGUUGCAAUUACAGUGCUUCCUCUCUGUGGGAGAACUGCCAUGAUCCUGCUGAGAGAAAAGCCAUGCUGACUGUUUCUGAUUUUGCCUUUCUGUGGUAAAAUCGUGACACCUUGACAUGGACAGUU